AAGACAGCUAGGAUGUUGGCUUGGAAGCAGCCAUUCAUUUAAAGAGUGCGUAACAGCUCACUAGUCGAGCGAUCUGGCGUGGAUAAUAAUCGGGCAUAAACGAUCUGCCGAAGCCGUGGAUGUCGUAAGACAUGGUAGGGGAGCAUUCCAUGCGGCGUCGAAGAUGAGGGAUGACCCUUGUUGGAGCGCAUGGAAAAGCAAAUGUAGGUAUGAGUAACGAUAAGGGGGGCGAGAAACCCCCCCGCCGAAAGACCAAGGUUUCCUGAUCAACGCUAAUCGGAUCAGGGUGAGUCGGGACCUAAGGCAAAGCCGAACGGCGACGCCGAUGGAAGAAUGGGUUAAUAUUCCCAUACUGCCUCAUGGAGUGACGUGGAGACGGAGAAGUGACAGUCCUGCCGGCUGACGGAAUAGCCGGUUGAAGGGUGUAGAUAUUGAUUCCCGUAGGCAAAUCCGCGGGGAGAGUCGAACCUGACAGUAUACCGAGUACUUGUACGAGGUAAUAUGGACGUAACCAUGCUCCCAAGAAAAUCCGCUAAACUUAUCCAUGCGGCACCCGUACCGUAAACGGACACACGUGGUCGGGUUGAGAAUACUGAGGCGCUCGAGUGACUCACGGUUAAGGAACUAGGCAAAUUGACCCUGUAACUUCGGGAUAAAGGGUCCUCGUCGUAAGGCGAGGCGCAGAGAAUAGGUCCAGGCAACUGUUUAACAAAAACACAUGGCUGUGCUAAAUGGAAACAUGACGUAUACAGCCUGACACCUGCCCGGUGCUGGAAGGUUAAGAGGAGAUGUCAUCGCAAGAGAAGCGUUGAAUUGAAGCCCCAGUAAACGGCGGCCGUAACUAUAACGGUCCUAAGGUAGCGAAAUUCCUUGUCGGGUAAGUUCCGACCUGCACGAAUGGUGUAACGAUCUGGGCACUGUCUCAACCGUGAGCUCGGUGAAAUUGUAGUAUCGGUGAAGAUGCCGAUUACCCGCGAUGGGACGAAAAGACCCCGUGAACCUUUACUAUAGCUUAACAUUGAAUUUGGGUAAUUGAUGUGUAGGAUAGGCCGGAGGCUUUGAAGCGGGCACGCCAGUGUCCGUGGAGCCGCUGUUGAAAUACGGCCCUUUGAUUAUUUGAGUUCUAACCCGUUGUUGCGGGGACACUGUUUGGUGGGUAGUUUGACUGGGGUGGUCGCCUCCAAAAGUGUAACGGAGGCUUCUAAAGGUGCCCUCA
rnacentral:rRNA from 1 species